rnacentral:rRNA from 1 species
CUACGGGCCGCAGCAGUGGGGAAUAUUGGGCAAUGGGCGAAAGCCUGACCCAGCAACGCCGCGUGAUUGAAGAAGGCUUUCGGGUUGUAAAAAUCUGUCCUUAGGGACGAAGAAGUGACGGUACCCAAGGAGGAAGCCCCGGCUAACUACGUGCCAGCAGCCGCGGUAAUACGUAGGGGGCGAGCGUUGUCCGGAAUUACUGGGCGUAAAGGGUGCGCAGGCGGCGCUUUAAGUCAGAUGUGAAAUACCCAGGCUUAACCUGGGGGGUGCAUUUGAAACUGGAGCGCUUGAGUGCAGGAGAGGAAAGUGGAAUUCCUAGUGUAGCGGUGAAAUGCGUAGAUAUUAGGAGGAACACCAGUGGCGAAGGCGACUUUCUGGACUGUAACUGACGCUGAGGCACGAAAGCGUGGGGAGCAAACAGGAUUAGAUACCCCCGUAGUC